rnacentral:rRNA from 1 species
UACGGAGGGUGCAAGCGUUAUCCGGAUUUACUGGGUUUAAAGGGUGUGUAGGCGGACUUUUAAGUCAGCGGUGAAAUCUCCGGGCUCAACCCGGAAACUGCCAUUGAUACUGUUGGUCUUGAAUGUUGUUGAGGUGGGCGGAACGGGUCAUGUAGCGGUGAAAUGCAUAGAUAUGACCCGGAACACCGAUUGCGAAGGCAGCCCACUAAGCAACGAUUGACGCUGAGGCACGAAAGCGUGGGGAUCAAACAGG